GUGCUUUUCGGUCAAGUGAGACUCCAUGGAAGCGAAUUUUAUCAUUUUUAGAAAAUCUAAUAAAGUUAGUAAGUAAACUCAUAAAUCAUUCACUUUAAAUUUUAAAACUUCAGGCGACAAACACAGAAAUUCUUAUAAUUACACACACAUUUCAAAAAACUUGGCUAUAUAUGCUUCAUUUUUAUUAAUUCUAUCCUCAAUGGAGCUAUUAGAUAUCAUAUUUCGAAGCCGCUCUUGUCAAUUUUAGACUCAAAUCGUUUAACACACAUGCACAUGCAUGUGCACGCACUAAGAA